rnacentral:RNase_P_RNA from 1 species
GGCCGACCAGACGGUCGCGUCAGGAGUCCUUCGGGACGACUGCCGAGGAACGUCCGGGCUCCACAGAGCAGGGCGGUGGGUAACACCCACCCGGAGCAAUCCGCGAGAAAGUGCAACAGAAAGCAGACCGCCUCGGCUUCGGCCGCGGUAAGGGUGAAACGGUGGUGUAAGAGACCACCAGGAGCCCGAGUGAUCGGGCUCGCUGGGUAAACCUCGCCUGGAGCAAGGUCAGACAGGGAACGUUGAGGCGGCUCGCCGAGUUCCCGGGUAGACCGCUGGAGAUGUGCGGCAACGCACGUCCGAGAUAGAUGGCCGUCCGGCGCCUUUCGGGGCGACGACAGAACCCGGCGUAUCGGUCGACCCGU